rnacentral:rRNA from 1 species
GACGAACGCUGGCGGCGCGCUUAACACAUGCAAGUCGAACGGAAAGGCCUGCUUUCCCUUGUGGAUUGCGGGUACUCUAGUGGCUAACGGUUGAGUAACACGUGAGUGAUCUGCCCCCAACUUGGGUAUAAGCCUGGGAAACUGGCUCUAAUUCUCGAGAGGUCUGCAGGGUGGUGUCUGUUGUUGAAAACGAUUUUCUAGUGGUUGGGGAUGAGCUCGCGGCCUAUCAGCUUGUUGGUGGUGUAAUGGCCUACUAAGGUGGUGACGGGUAGCCGGCCUGGGAGCGUCGACCUCAAAAUUGGGACGGAGACACGGCCUAGACUCGUACGGGAGGCAUCAGUGGGGAAGAUUGCGCCAUGCACAGAUACCGACUGCAGCGACCCGGCGUGUGCGAUGACGGAUUUGGGGUUGUAACCUCAUUGCGACCGCGAGAAAGCGACCUGGUUGGAAGGGUGGUGACGGUAGUGGUAGAAGAAGCACCGGCUAACUACGUG